rnacentral:lncRNA from 1 species
UCUACUAUAUCGGCAGCCCUAAUCACCGCUCUGAGGAUCGAAUGUGGUGUUUUUAGGUAUCCUCGCCAUCUGAUCAGUAAUGAGCUCGUAUUUUUCGGUCCGAAGGAUGUGCUUAAUUAUCAAUUCUAAAAAGAAAAAUGGACACGCUUUUGAAGCUCAGAGCUACAAGGAAAUUCAUACAGAAGGAGGUGUUGGUCUCGGGUUCGAUUCCAGGACCAGAACGAAUUUUUGUAAAGUAGGAAGGUUUUAUUUCUCAGAUAUUCGCAUAGAUUGCCUUGUAGCUUAGUACCGCACACAGGGGGAUGUUCAUUUUCGCUUUCAUAACAGUUACUCCAACUUGAGAGAUUCCGCAAAAUCAAAUCGCAGUUUUCAAUUACUGGACAUUUCGCUUUCUCUGCACUGAGUACCAUACUUUAUUCCUGAGCUUCUCAGGGCAGGGUGAACAUUGAAGCACUGAAUGUCAAGUUCAUUCGGUGUGUAGACAACGCAAUGUCUAAGCAUAAGGUCGUGCUUGUAUUUUUCAAUGGGUAUUGAGCGCAAGAAGGCCUUACGAACACUUUGUGGACGUUAACACAAAGACAAUCCAUGUAUUUUCCCCGUGGUCUACUGCGUUGCAUGACAGCUCAUAUAGUUUUGCAUUAUACAAGAGAUGAUGAAGAAUCUACCAAGAGUUGUGCAAGGAACGGCUGACAAAGCAUAGUUAGAGAUCAUGGAUUGCUCCUACUCUUCGAGAAUAUAGGCGCGCUCAAUUUAUCAAUAGCACCCAAACUUUAGUCAGCACUGAAGCUAAUAUAACUCCUUAGCAACAAAAUGCGCUUCAAGUAGAAGUAACCAAAUUGAUCAUUUUGACCUGGCGCUACAUUGUACCCCUGAGAAAGUGCUAACGUUAGCACAUGUUAUUGCGAAUUUAUUUUGCGUCUGGGAAGCUACGAAAAGUAAAUCAAUGAUAGAACGGAGAUAAAACGCACUUUGAAUGCGUGACUGCGAUUGCUGUGCGUGGAAAACUUACCGCCGAGUUCCAAAGCAUUCGGCUGAGCGUCGGUCUUGCUAGGACAACACAGGAAGCUGCGCAGAGUUUUCGAUUAUCAUAGUUAUCACGAAGCGUCCGUUUUGGUGGAUGCUUCAGGCUUAUCCUGUUUUCUAGAUUCUUCACAUUCUUCGUUGUAUACAUUGCACCUGUCUCAGUUAUCAUUCUGCGGCGAACGCUGAAACAUAACAAUCGUAAGCGUGCGUUUGUGGAUUCAGUCGAAGAAGAAGCCGUCUGUAAAUUAAACUUAAUCUUUGUUCAUUCUCUUGCGAAACUAACGAUGCGACGUACCGAUAUGUUCUUAAAGCCGUUCGGCAUGAUUAUGCUUUCAUUUAUUUUUUUUUUUAC